GACGAACGCUGGCGGCGUGCCUAAUACAUGCAAGUCGAGCGAUGAAGGAGAUACUUGUAUCUUUUGAAGAGCGGCGAACGGGUGAGUAACGCGUGGGGAAUCUGCCAAUGAGUGGGGGACAACAUUUGGAAACGAAUGCUAAUACCGCAUAAAAUCUAUUGAGACAUCUCAAGAGAUUGAAAGGAACAAUUGUUUCGCUCGUUGAUGAUUCCGCGUUGUAUUAGCCAGUUGGUGAGGUAAGGGCUGACCAAGGCGAUGAUACAUAGCCGACCUGAGAGGGUGAUCGGCCACAUUGGGACUGAGACACGGCCCAAACUCCUACGGGAGGCAGCAGUAGGGAAUCUUCGGCAAUGGACGAAAGUCUGACCGAGCAACGCCGCGUGAGUGAAGAAGGUUUUCGGAUCGUAAAGCUCUGUUGUUGUUAAAGAACGUUGAUGAGAGUGGAAAGUUCAUCAAGUGACGGUAAACAACCAGAAAGGGACGGCUAACUACGUGCCAGCCGCCGCGGUAA
rnacentral:rRNA from 1 species